AGAGGAAGUAAAAGUCGUAACAAGGUUUCCGUAGGUGAACCUGCGGAAGGAUCAUUAUCGAAAUCUACUCGGGAACAGGUAGAGAGACUGUCGCUGGCUAGAUCCUAACAACACCGUCUAGUAUCUAGCAUCUAGCACGUCCCCUCGCCUUUUCCUAUCUAUACACACCUGUGCACCUAUCGUAGGAUCCCCCCUCGAAAGAGGAGGGGGAACUAUGUUCUCAUCAUAUCACACAUAUCGUAUGUCUAGAAUGUAAUAUCAUUGAUCAUUGAUUUGAUCAAUAAUAACAAAAUAUAAAUAUAUACAACUUUCAGCAACGGAUCUCUUGGCUCUCGCAUCGAUGAAGAACGCAGCGAAUUGCGAUAAGUAAUGUGAAUUGCAGAUUUCCAGUGAAUCAUCGAAUCUUUGAACGCACCUUGCACUCCUUGGUAUUCCGAGGAGCAUGCCUGUUUGAGUGUCAUCGAAUUCUCAACCAUUCUUUCUCUUUAUGAGAGAAUGAAUGGCUUGGAGUUGGGGGUUGCUGGCAUGAAUUGUCAGCUCUCCUUAAAUGCAUUAGCGAUCGAGUUGGGCUAGUCUUUGACGUGCACGGCCUCAGACGUGAUAAUGAUCGUCGUAGCUGGAGCGUCUUUCCUAGACUAUGCACAUACAUAGAUAGCUUCUAAUCAAAUCAAGGUCUAUCAAGCUUAGCUACUAGGCAGUCUUUGACUGGCGAACACAAGCGAAAGGGGGGGGACCUUACAUGAAUUACAGAGACUUGACCUCAAAUCAGGUAGGACUACCCGCUGAACUUAAGCAUAUCAAUAA
rnacentral:rRNA from 1 species